UGGGGAAUCUUGGACAAUGGGGGCAACCCUGAUCCAGCCAUGCCGCGUGAGUGAUGAAGGCCUUAGGGUCGUAAACUUCUGUCAGAUGGGAAGAAGGUUUGUAGGUUAAGAGCUAGUGAACUUGACGGUACCAUCAGAGGAAGUCCCGGCUAACUCCGUGCCAGCAGCCGCGGUAAUACGGAGGGGACAAGCGUUAUUCGGAUUUAUUGGGCGUAAAGGGCGCGUAGGCGGCUUGAUAAGUCAAAGGUGAAAUCCCUCGGCUCAACCGGGGAACUGCCUUUGAAACUGUCUGGCUAGAGUUCGAGAGAGGUGAGUGGAAUUCCAAGUGUAGAGGUGAAAUUCGUAGAUAUUUGGAGGAACACCAGUGGCGAAGGCGGCUCACUGGCUCGAUACUGACGCUGAGGUGCGAAAGUGUGGGGAGCAAACAGGAUUAGAUACCCUGGU
rnacentral:rRNA from 1 species